rnacentral:lncRNA from 1 species
GACGUGCCCGGGGGGCGGGCGCUGCUGGCGAGGCGGCCGCUCGGAGUGCUGGGCGUGGCCUGGGGCUGGCCACGCCCACUGGCGCUGCAGCUCCUCCUCCCGGCGCUCGCGCUCGGCAACGCCCUGGUGGUCGUGGCGCCCCCUGGCGGCGCCGGUUCCGCAGAGCGGCUUCGGAAGGCUCUGGUGGCCGCCGGGCUUCCCGGGGGUGUCCUGACGGUGCUUCCCGGGAAUUUCCGGGGCUCCGGAUCUGGCCUGGCGCGACAUCACCCGGACGGGCUGUGGCUGUGCGGGGGGGACGCGGACUGCGACUGGGCCUCUGCCGUGAGCGUCCCCCGCGUUUGGGGGGUCCCGGCGGGACUCGUGGGGGCUCCGAGGCAGGACCCUCCCCCCGGCGCCGAACGGGAGCUGGAGCUGCGCUGCACCCGCCCCCACUGCCUUUGGCUUCCGGGGGGCGCUCCCUGAGAUGCCCUCCAGAGCCUCCCAAAUCUGCGGGGAUUUCAGAUCUCACACUGUGCCCCCAGCCCCGCGACCCCCACCCCAAUAAACCGCUCCGAGUCGCAGCCGCUGUCACGUUUCUGUUUAGGGGGGGGACCGGGUUGGUCUC